rnacentral:rRNA from 1 species
CUACGGGUUGCUCCAGUGAGGAAUUUUGCGCAAUGGGGGAAACCCUGACGCAGCAACGCCGCGUGAGUGAUGAAGGCUUUCGAGUCGUAAAGCUCUGUCAAGUGGGAAGAACCUACUAAGUGCCAAUACCACUUAGUACUGACGGUACCACUGAAGGAAGCACCGGCUAACUCCGUGCCAGCAGCCGCGGUAAUACGGGGGGUGCAAGCGUUACUCGGAAUUAUUGGGCGUAAAGGGCGCGCAGGCGGCCAGGUAAGUCAGAGUGAAAGCCCGGGGCUCAACCCCGGAAGUGCAUUUGAAACUACUUGGCUUGAGUAUGGGAGAGGGAAGUGGAAUUCCUGGUGUAGAGGUGAAAUUCGUAGAUAUCAGGAGGAACACCGGUGGCGAAGGCGACUUCCUGGACCAAUACUGACGCUGAGGCGCGAAGGCGUGGGUAGCAAACAGGAUUAGAUACCCGUGUAGUC